rnacentral:rRNA from 1 species
UACAGGUGAUUUAAAAAGAAGGUUUAAAGAACAUAAUCAAACAAAGACCGGAUAUACCCAAAAAGGUAAAUGGGAAUUGAUAUAUUAUGAAGGAUACAAAAACCAACAAGAUGCACAAGAAAGAGAAAAACAGUUAAAAAAUCACGGACAAGCCAAAAGAUGGUUAAAAGAAAGAAUAAAAAGAAGUCUUAAUGAAUGAAGUUGAGUGCUGGUGGUAGAAGAGCAUCGUAUGAUAGGGAGAAGGAGAAUUGAAAAAGACUCUGGACGAAAUACGAGAGAGAAUGUUGGCAUGAGUAGCGAGAUGUGUGUGAGAAUCACACAGGCCGAAAACCCAAGGAUUUCCAAGGAAGGUUCGUCCGCUUGGAGUAAGUCGGGACCUAAGGAGAGGCAGAAAUGCGUAUCUGAUGGACAACAGGUUAAGAUUCCUGUACCUACGCUUAUCGCCAAAGAGGAGAAGGAAUGACGCAGGAGGAUAAGAUCAGCGCACGGCUGGAAGAGUGCGUCCAAGCAGUAAGGCAGGCAUAUAGGCAAAUCCGUAUGCUAAAAAUGCUAAGCUGUGAUGGGGAGAGAAGUUUAGUAUCGAAGGAUCUGAUUUCACACUGACAGGAAAAGUUUCUAUCCAGAUAAGAGUAGCCCGUACCAAAACCGACACAGGUGGGUAAGGUGAGAAACCUAAGGCCGGCGAGAGAACUGUUGUUAAGGAACUCGGCAAAAUGACCCCGUAACUUAGGGAUAAGGGGUGCCUUAGAGAUAAGGCUUCAAGAAAAAGGCCCAAGCGACUGUUUACCAAAAACAUAGGUCUCUGCGAAACCGCAAGGUGAAGUAUAGGGGCUGACGCCUGCCCGGUGCUGGAAGGUUAAGAGGAGAUGUCAGGCAACGAAGCAUUGAAUUUAAGCCCCAGUAAACGGCGGCCGUAACUAUAACGGUCCUAAGGUAGCGAAAUUCCUUGUCGGGUAAGUUCCGACCCGCACGAAAGGCGUAACGAUUUGGGCACUGUCUCAACAACAGACUCGGUGAAAUUGUAGUACCGGUGAAGAUGCCGGAAACCUGCGACAGGACGGAAAGACCCCAUGGAGCUUUACUGUAGCUUAGUAUUGAAUUUAUGUAAUUAAUGUACAGAAUAGGUGGGAGGCUGAGAGAUUAGGUCGUCAGAUUUAAAGGAGCCGCCUUUGGGAUACCACCCUUUGAUUAUGUGAGUUCUAACCGGAAUCUUUGAAGCAAGGUACGGGACAGUGCUUGGCGGACAGUUUGACUGGGGCGGUCGCCUCCCAAAGAGUAACGGAGGCGUCCAAAGGUUCCCUCAGCAUGGUCGGAAAUCAUGCGAAGAGUGCAAAGGCAAAAGGGAGCUUGAUUGCGAGACCAACAAGUCGAGCAAAGACGAAAGUCGGGCUUAGUGAUCCGGUGGUAGAAAGUGGAAUUGCCAUCGCUCAACGGAUAAAAGCUACCCUGGGGAUAACAGGCUGAUCUCCCCCAAGAGUUCACAUCGACGGGGAGGUUUGGCACCUCGAUGUCGGCUCAUCGCAUCCUGGGGCU